ACACGCAUGACACACUGCAUAUCAAUAAGCGGAGGAAAAGAAACUAACAAGGAUUCCCUUAGUAACGGCGAGUGAAGCGGGAAGAACUCAAAUUUGAAAUCUUCAAGGCUCUACCUUGACGAAUUGUAGUUUAUAAGAAGUGUUUUCUGUUAGUAGAGGUGGCUAAAAGUUCUUUGGAAUAGGACAUCAUAGAGGGUGAGAAUCCCGUAUUUGAUCAUUCUUUCUAACGUUGUGAUACACUUUCAACGAGUCGGAUUGUUUGGGAAUGCAGUCCAAAAUGGGUGGUAAGUUUCAUCUAAAGCUAAAUAUUGGCGAGAGACCGGAUAGCGAACAAGUACCGUGAGGGAAAGAUGAAAAGAACUUUGAAAAGAGAGUUAAACAGUACGUGAAAUUGUCAAAAGGGAAGCGUUUGACACCAGUGUUGUUUUUCCGAAAAUCAAUUACGAAUGUUUUGUUUUUGAGGAGUUAUGACUUCAUCGGCUUGCUUCUCUCUUUACGAAACUUUCUUAAUGCACUUUUCGGUUAACAAGUCAACAUCAAUUUCUUUUGUUGUAAAAGGGUAUGAGGAAGGUGGCUUUCUUUUCGGAGAAAGUGUUUAUAGCCUUGUGCCUCUGCAAUCGGAGAGAUUGAGGUCUGCAGCGUAGACCCUUCGGGGUUAGAUACAUUUGUGCUAAGUUAUAGCUUUUCAUAGACAACUUGUUGACUAUGUUAAGUCUUGUAGCUUACUCGCUUAUGCUAUUUUACCUACGCUUAGGAUGUUGAACUACUGAGACAUAGA
rnacentral:rRNA from 1 species